rnacentral:rRNA from 1 species
AUUGAACGCUGGCGGCAUGCCUUACACAUGCAAGUCGAACGGUAACGGGCCUUCGGGUGCCGACGAGUGGCGGACGGGUGAGUAAUAUAUCGGAACGUACCUUUCAGUGGGGGAUAACGUAGCGAAAGUUACGCUAAUACCGCAUAUUCUGUGCGCAAGAAAGCAGGGGACCUUCGGGCCUUGCGCUGAUUGAGCGGCGGAUAGCAGAUUAGCUAGUUGGUGAGGUAAAGGCUCACCAAGGCUACGAUCUGUAGCGGGUCUGAGAGGAUGAUCCGCCACACUGGAACUGAGACACGGUCCAGACUCCUACGGGAGGCAGCAGUGGGGAAUUUUGGACAAUGGGGGCAACCCUGAUCCAGCCAUGCCGCGUGAGUGAAGAAGGCCUUCGGGUUGCAAAGCUCUUUCGGCCGGGAAGAAAUCGUAUGGGCUAAUACCCUGUGCGGAUGACGGUACCGGCAUAAGAAGCACCGGCUAACUACGUGCCAGCAGCCGCCGUAAGAC